UACUCCUACGGGAGGCAGCAGUGAGGAAUAUUGGUCAAUGGGCGCAGGCCUGAACCAGCCAAGUAGCGUGAAGGAUGAGGGUUCUAUGGAUUGUAAACUUCUUUUAUACGGGAAUAACAUCACCUACGUGUAGGUGCCUGCAUGUACCGUAUGAAUAAGCAUCGGCUAACUCCGUGCCAGCAGCCGCGGUA
rnacentral:rRNA from 1 species